CACAGAGGUGGCAAGCGUUGUUCGGAAUUACUGGGCGUAAAGGGCGCGUAGGCGGCCUUCUAAGUCAGACGUGAAAUCCCCAGGCUUAACUUGGGAACUGCGUCUGAUACUGGGAGGCUUGAGUGCGGGAGAGGGAUGUGGAAUUCCAGGUGUAGCGGUGAAAUGCGUAGAUAUCUGGAGGAACACCGGUGGCGAAGGCGGGUCUCUGGGCCGUAACUGACACUGAGGGACGAAAGCUAGGGGAGCGAAUGGG
rnacentral:rRNA from 1 species